rnacentral:misc_RNA from 1 species
GAACGCACAUUGCGCCCUCUGGUAUUCCGGGGGGCAUGCCUGUUCGAGCGUCAUUACAACCCUCAAGCUCUGCUUGGUAUUGGGCGUCACCACCUGGUGCGCCUCAAAAACAGUGGCGGUGCCGUCUGGCUUCAAGCGUAGUAAUUUCUCUCGCUUCGGAGCCCAGGCGAGUGCUCGCCAGAACCCCCAAUUUAUCAAAGGUUGACCUCGGAUCAGGUAGGGAUACCCGCUGAACUUAAG